rnacentral:miRNA from 1 species
UGUGUGUGUGUGUGUAUGUGUGUAUGUGUGUCACACACACACACACACACACACACACACACACU